GACAGAGGGUGCAAACGUUGUUCGGAUUUACUGGGCGUAAAGCGCGUGUAGGCGGCUUGGCAAGUUGGAUGUGAAAGCCCACGGCUCAACCGUGGAAGCGCAUCCAAAACUGCUUCGCUCGAGUCUCGGAGAGGAAGGUGGAGUGCUUGGUGUAGAGGUGAAAUUCGUAGAUAUCAAGCAGAACACCUGCGGCGAAGGCGGCCUUCUGGACGAUGACUGACGCUGAGACGCGAAAGCGUGGGGAGCAAACAGG
rnacentral:rRNA from 1 species